UACGGGGGGAGCAAGCGUUGUUCGGAUUUACUGGGCGUAAAGGGCGCGUAGGCGGCCAGCACAAGUCAGUUGUGAAAUCUCCGAGCUUAAUUCGGAAAGGUCAACUGAUACUGUGCGGCUAGAGUGCAGAAGGGGCAACUGGAAUUCUUGGUGUAGCGGUGAAAUGCGUAGAUAUCAAGAGGAACACCUGCGGCGAAGGCGGGUUGCUGGGCCGACACUGACGCUGAGGCGCGAAAGCUAGGGGAGCGAACGGG
rnacentral:rRNA from 1 species